rnacentral:tRNA from 1 species
AUUCCCGUAGUUGAAAUACAACGUUGGUUUUUCAAGUCAAUGGUCCUGAUGAGAAUUCAGGUGGGAAUG